CCAGCUGAUAAAGGCUGCAGGGAAAUGACUAUAGCCUCUCUCCCUCCCUUUCCUCCUUUAUCACCGCCACCACUGCCUUCCCUCCCUAGAGAUGCCGCACCAGUUUUGCAAUGCUGUCUUUGCAAUGCUGUCUUCACAAAGCGACAUUAGCCGGAGAUUUUGUUUGCCCCAUUAUGCUUAACCAGUUGCCCAGAAAUUUUUCCUAAACUACCGGGACUAGGAAGUCCCAAUGAAAGUGCCUGCCACAGACAAACACCAAACACAUCUGAGUUAAGGUAGCUUUGCAAUUCAGACUUUCCCUGUGUUGGUUAUUUUUAAAAGGUUAUCUGUCACAAAACAGCCCAAUGGAACCCUGAAGUCCACCAUCCUGCUUCCCAGAGGACCAACGAUGCUGCGCUAUAACAACUGUACAAAGAAGAUACCUCCCAAAGCUGACUCCAGUGCGGAUGCAACAGCCUAAGAAGACGUGGCACCCAUUCCCAGAACCCCCAUGAUAUCCCUGUGAAUGAGCUUUAUGUCACUACAACAAAUUGUAAUCCUAAUAAAAAGGGGGGAGAUGUGGA